UACGGGGGGAGCAAGCGUUGUUCGGAUUUACUGGGCGUAAAGGGCGCGUAGGCGGUCGUGACAAGUCACUUGUGAAAUCUCCGGGCUUAACUCGGAACGGUCAAGUGAUACUGUCGGACUAGAGUACAGAAGGGGGCAACUGGAAUUCUCGGUGUAGCGGUGAAAUGCGUAGAUAUCGAGAGGAACACCUGCGGCGAAGGCGGGUUGCUGGGCUGAUACUGACGCUGAGGCGCGAAAGCCAGGGGAGCGAACGGGG
rnacentral:rRNA from 1 species